AGAGUUUGAUCCUGGCUCAGAUUGAACGCUAGCGGCAGGCCUAACACAUGCAAGUCGAACGGUAACAGGAAGAAGCUUGCUUCUUUGCUGACGAGUGGCGGACGGGUGAGUAAUGUCUGGGAAACUGCCUGAUGGAGGGGGAUAACUACUGGAAACGGUAGCUAAUACCGCAUAACGUCGCAAGACCAAAAAGGGGGACCUUCGGGCCUCUUGCCAUCGGAUGUGCCCAGAUGGGAUUAGCUAGUAGGUGGGGUAACGGCUCACCUAGGCGACGAUCCCUAGCUGGUCUGAGAGGAUGACCAGCCACACUGGAACUGAGACACGGUCCAGACUCCUACGGGAGGCGGCAGUGGGGAAUAUUGCACAAUGGGCGCAAGCCUGAUGCACCAUGCCGCGUGUAUGAAGAAGCCUUCGGGUUGUAAAGUACUUUCACGGGGAGGAANGGAGUAAAGGUAAUACCUUUGCUCAUUUGACGNUACCCGCAGAAGAACACCGGCUAACUUCGUGCCACAAGCCGCGGUAAUACNGAGGGUGCAAGCCGUUAAUCGGAANUACUGGGCGUAAACCCCCCCAGCCGGUUUGUUAAGUCAAAUGUGAAAAUCCCCGGCUCAACCUGGGAAAUUGGUUUGAAACUGGCAAGCUUGAGNUUUUUAAAA
rnacentral:rRNA from 1 species